AGGCGUGUCUGAAGGCACGAGGGAUGUGCUAGGGCAGUAGGCCCGAGAGAACAUGCGCGGUCACAUAUAACUCUAUUGGCUGAAGAAGUCACAUGAUAUACAGGGAUAUAAAGUGAGAAUUUUGAAUAAACCUCU